rnacentral:rRNA from 1 species
UACGGGGGGAGCAAGCGUUGUUCGGAUUUACUGGGCGUAAAGGGCGCGUAGGCGGCCACCGCAAUUCGACUGUGAAAUCUCCGGGCUUAACUCGGAAAGGUCAGCCGAUACUGCGGGGCUAGAGUGCAGAAGGGGCAACUGGAAUUCUCGGUGUAGCGGUGAAAUGCGUAGAUAUCGAGAGGAACACCUGCGGCGAAGGCGGGUUGCUGGGCUGACACUGACGCUGAUUGUGCGAAAGCUAGGGGAGCGAACGGG